UGAGGAAUAUUGGUCAAUGGACGCAAGUCUGAACCAGCCAAGUAGCGUGCAGGAUGACGGCCCUAUGGGUUGUAAACUGCUUUUAUAUGGGGAUAAAGUGAGGGACGUGUCCCUUAUUGCAUGUACCAUACGAAUAAGGACCGGCUAAUUCCGUGCCAGCAGCCGCGGUAAUACGGAAGGUCCAGGCGUUAUCCGGAUUUAUUGGGUUUAAAGGGAGCGUAGGCUGUUUGUUAAGCGUGUUGUGAAAUGUAAGAGCUCAACUUUUAGAUUGCAGCGCGAACUGGCAGACUUGAGUGCGCACAACGUAGGCGGAAUUCAUGGUGUAGCGGUGAAAUGCUUAGAUAUCAUGACGAACUCCGAUUGCGAAGGCAGCUUACGGGAGCGCAACUGACGCUAAAGCUCGAAGGUGCGGGUAUCGAACAGG
rnacentral:rRNA from 1 species